GCAGGUGAACGAACUCUGGUAUUGAUUGGUGCCUUGCAUCAUGNAUUUACAUUUGCAGUGAGUGGCGAACUGGUGAGUUAACACGNUGGGAAACCUGCCCAGAAGCGGGGGAUAACACCUGGAAACAGAUGCUAAUACCGCAUAACAACUUGGACCGCAUGGUCCGAGCUUGAAAGAUGGCUUCGGCUAUCACUUUUGGAUGGUCCCGCGGCGUAUUAGCUAGAUGGUGGGGUAACGGCUCACCAUGGCAAUGAUACGUAGCCGACCUGAGAGGGUAAUCGGCCACAUUGGGACUGAGACACGGCCCAAACUCCUACGGGAGGCAGCAGUAGGGAAUCUUCCACAAUGGACGAAAGUCUGAUGGAGCAACGCCGCGUGAGUGAAGAAGGGUUUCGGCUCGUAAAACUCUGUUGUUAAAGAAGAACAUAUCUGAGAGUAACUGUUCAGGUAUUGACGGUAUUUAACCAGAAAGCCACGGCUAACUACGUGCCAGCAGCCGCGGUAAUACGUAGGUGGCAAGCGUUGUCCGGAUUUAUUGGGCGUAAAGCGAGCGCAGGCGGUUUUUUAAGUCUGAUGUGAAAGCCUUCGGCUCAACCGAAGAAGUGCAUCGGAAACUGGGAAACUUGAGUGCAGAAGAGGACAGUGGAACUCCAUGUGUAGCGGUGAAAUGCGU
rnacentral:rRNA from 2 species